GGAAGUAAAAGACGUAACAAGGUUUCCGUAGGUGAACCCGCGGAAGGAUCAUUACUGAGUGAGGGCCCCUCGGGGUCCAACCUCCCACCCGUGUUUAACGAACCUUGUUGCUUCGGCGGGCCCGCCUCACGGCCGCCGGGGGGCAUCUGCCCCCGGGCCCGCGCCCGCCGAAGCCACCUGUGAACGCUGUCUGAAGUAUGCAGUCUGAGACAAUUAUUAAAUUAAUUAAAACUUUCAACAACGGAUCUCUUGGUUCCG
rnacentral:misc_RNA from 1 species